rnacentral:lncRNA from 1 species
CUCUUCAGAAAGGGUAGAAUGAUUGCUCCCCCUUGGUGUGACAAUCCAGGACAUAAUGAAGGCAAUGAGUCUUUCAUCAAGCUUCAACCCUCCAACAGGAAAGUUUCUUACCUUUGAGAGGGGAUUCUUUAGACAAUUCUUGUAGAAUUGAAUUUUGUUGAACUCUUUUAUCACUCCAAUGUUACUUUUGUUGAUUCUUAAUCUAGAGAAUUUCAGCCCAGUGAUGG